UCUGUGGAUCGAUCAAAGAAAGGAACCAAGGGGAAAACCCUAAGUUCUACAAAUCAGCAAGAUUGAAAGGGAAAUCAAGAUCAAAUAACCUGCAUGAACUCGAUUCUCUAGUAAUCUAAGCUUGUCCUACAAAGAGGCGUUAAGGAAGAAAGUUCGAGUCAAGUGAAGCAACAAGGGGAUCAAGACCGAGGUAAAUCUCAUGUCUAGCUAUCAAGCUUUGCCCGGAUCGAACACAUCUCAAGCCCGUCAAGCGCUCCGCAUUUUGUAUAAAAUCAAUGUCAAAUUACCUAGUUACUUAUGUCUAUGUUUUGUACUUAAAACUAGUUUGGUCAUGGUUGUCUUUUGAAAGUUGUCGUAAGUGCGUACAUAAACUUAAUGGUUUCGAAACUAAAAAUAGGUCAUCUUUUGUUGUGUAUGUCAUGUCUUUUGAAUGUUUGCGUACAGUUUGAAUGAAGUUUGGUUAUGAAAAA